UUAGUUUGAUCCUGGCUCAGGAUGAACGCUGGCGGCGUGCCUAAUGCAUGCAAGUCGAACGGUCUUCCUUGACCUGCAAGGGCCAGGGGAGAUAGUGGCGAAUGGGUGAGUAACGCGUAAGUGACCUGCCCCCCAGCGGGGAAUAACCCUGAGAAAUCGGGUCUAAUACCUCAUAGGAUAGCUUCGAUGGCUCGAAGCUAUCAAAGGGCUGAGCAAUCGGCCCGCUGGGGGAUGGGCUUGCGUCCGAUUAGCUAGUUGGUAGGGUAAAGGCCUACCAAGGCGAGGAUCGGUAGCUGGUCUAAGAGGACGAUCAGCCACACUGGGACUGAGACACGGCCCAGACUCCUACGGGAGGCAGCAGCAAGGAAUAUUGCGCAAUGGGCGAAAGCCUGACGCAGCAACGCCGCGUGGGGGAAGAAGGCCUUCGGGUUGUAAACCCCUUUUCUCAGGGAAGAAGCUCUGACGGUACCUGAGGAAUAAGCCUCGGCAAACUACGUGCCAGCAGCCGCGGUAACACGUAGGAGGCGAGCGUUAUCCGGAUUUACUGGGCGUAAAGAGGGCGCGGGCGGCCUUCUAAGUCUGGGGUGAAAUCUCCUGGCUCAACUGGGAGGGGUCCUCAGAUACUGGAGGGCUUGAGGGCAGCAGAGGGAGGUGGAAUUCCCGGUGUAGUGGUGAAAUGCGUAGAUAUCGGGAGGAACACCAGUGGCGAAGGCGGCCUCCUGGGCUGUACCUGACGCUGAGGCCCGAAAGUGUGGGGAGCAAACAGGAUUAGAUACCCUGGUAGUCC
rnacentral:rRNA from 1 species